rnacentral:sRNA from 1 species
UGAACAUGUGGCCGGAUUUAGCGGGAAUUGGUAGGGCCAAUUAAGGGGUGAGGACAACAAAGGGAAGUGAAAAGGCAAUGGCAUAAUGCCAUUGCCUUUGAUGUCGGG